rnacentral:rRNA from 11 species
UCCGAUUGUCCCUAGAUAACCUGAAAGCAUCAGAUCCCAUCUGAUCUUGGAAGUUAUACAGGGCCAGUUCUGGUUAUACUGGAUGGGAGGUGGCCAAUGAAUACGGGGUGCUGUAGGUU